UUUUCCUGUCCUGCUAGUUGUUUGGCAUAGGGUGUCCAGCUCUGUAGCUUGCUGGUCAUUGAGUGGAUCUGGGUUUUGACUUUGAGAUGGAGAUCUCUGGGAGGUUUUUGCCAUUUGAUAUUUCAUUGCACUGAGAGGUCUCUUGUGGACCAGUGUCCUGAAGUUGGCUCUCUCACCUCAGAGGCACAGCACUGACUCCUGGCUGCAGCACCAAGAGCCUUCCAUCCACACAGCUGAGAAUAAAAGGGAGAAAAAGUGGAAAGAAAGAAAGAAGGAAAGAGGACAAUAGAAAAUAAAAUAAAUCAAGGUAAAAUAAAAUAAAGUUAUUAAAAUAAAAAAUAAUUAUAAGAAUAAAUUUUUGAGAAAGUAGAAAAAACAAACAAAAA